CAAUUUAUAUCAUCUAUACAUUUAUAAACAAUUAUAAUUUGUAAGGAUAUAAGAAUUAUUAUAUUAUUAUUUUUUUUUACUAGCUUGAAUAUUAAUAGGGGUUUGUCCAGUUAUUCUAAUUUUUUAGAUAUCUAUGUUUAUAUUCCUAUAGAAGUAACUUAAGUCCGGAAUUAUUUUUCUGAUAAUAAUAAAAUAAAUCUUUUGAACUUCUACUUUGCCACGUUUUUUUACACACAUAAGGGGUAGUAGGCCUUGCUUAUGAUCUAUUUUGACAGUCAACAAUGGGAUUUUCAUUUGUUUAUAUUUGAGAAUGUGUUAGUGAGGCUAUCAUGGAAAUAUAUUUUCAGAAAGUGUUUUUUUGCAGUUUUUUAGAUUAUGAAGCUAAAAGCUUUUUUAUCUUAUUGGUGUUAUAAAUACAAUAUUUUGGAUGGAUGAAAGCAUGUAUUGUACACAUAUGCCUGUGUAUAAUAAAGCUGUCUAAAAGUCCAUAGGAGAAGAUACUACGACUGAUGCAGCUCUGGAACGAAGAUCUUGGGAACACUAGCCUUCAGGAUUGAGUCCCAGAACGAGAUUUAACCAGAUACCUAGGAAUGUUAUAAUAAGACAUAUCAGAAAAGACAGAUCCACAGAAAGGAGCAUUAUUAAUAAUACACCCCAGCACAUAAAGACCGCCCAAAAGGAGAGACAUGGGUCACCCCUAUAUAAUCCUGCUGUUUGAGAUUGGCCUUCUAUUAUCCGAUUAAAAACGCGAUUUAGUACUACACAUCAGCACACUGUCGCCCAGAGGCCGAACAGGCAGGGAUAUUAUAGGAUCCUGGAUAUUAUUAGGGAAUUUUACGUAAGUAAAUUUUACCGAUGGUGUCCCGACGGAUUGGAUCAAAGGGUGGCGCUCCAGGACGCGACGCGGCCUUCUUCCGAAGAGGAGUCCUGAAUCGUCUCCCGAACUUGAUGUUGUCUUAUGAAAUCCUAUGUAGCAUGCGAUGGUAGGUCGCUCGAUGAUCUCAGAUGCGGCUGUUUAAUUGGGAUCGGGAGUUGACUGGUAAGACAAAAUCAUCGAAAAGGAUCAAAUCUGCAGAAGCAACCACACCUCGGACGCGACGAAGAAUUUUUUUGUUCUGCAUCUGCCUGACGUCGAUUUAUGGGUAGAUAUUAGGGACAGAGAGGGUAGCAUACCCCAGCUAAAACCAAAUAAAGAUAAUUCGAGUUCGUGAUGCGUUUAAGUCAAAGAAUAUUCCAGAUGAACUAUUGCAAUACGCGUGUGAUUGGUCCUAAAGCUUCUUCGGAUUCUCCCAGGCACCAUCGAAUACCUGGUGACGUGUUAAGUACUAACUCAAGAGGAGUUGGAACAUUCCCCAUGCCCAAAUGCAGCUUCAAGUAACUGUCUUUUGUCUUUUCGUCUUUUAAUUAUAAUGGGACUGAAGAAAUACCGGCGAAUUGAUAUGGUGAUAAAGCAGCUCAGCCCUUAAAUGAAACCUCACGCAUAUGAAGAACUAAUUUGUAGCAAAGAGUACUUAUUUUAAUUAAUUUCUUAAUGAUGCUAAUGUAUUAUUUUAUAUACAGGGUAUCCCAGAAAUAAGUGCAAGUAUUUUAAGGAGUGAUAGAUCUCGAUAAAAGAAACAUAUUUUCUCGUUAUCGUUUUUCAAAUAAAUCC